CCUACGGGUGGCAGCAGUGGGGAAUAUUGGGCAAUGGGCGCAAGCCUGACCCAGCAACGCCGCGUGAAGGAAGAAGGCUUUCGGGUUGUAAACUUCUUUUGUCAGGGAAGAGUAGAAGACGGUACCUGACGAAUAAGCCACGGCUAACUACGUGCCAGCAGCCGCGGUAAUACGUAGGUGGCAAGCGUUGUCCGGAUUUACUGGGUGUAAAGGGCGGGGAGGCGGGUUGACAAGUCAGAUGUGAAAACCUGGGGCUUAACCGCAGAACUGCAUUUGAAAAUAUUGAUCUUGAGUACUGGAGAGGCAGAUGGAAUUCCUAGUGUAGCGGUGAAAUGCGUAGAUAUUAGGAGGAACACCAGUGGCGAAGGCGGUCUGCUGGACAGCAACUGACGGUGAGGCGCGAAAGCGUGGGGAGCAAACAGGAUUAGAUACCCCUGUAGUC
rnacentral:rRNA from 1 species